rnacentral:rRNA from 1 species
AGUCCACGCCCUAAACGAUGUCUACUAGUUGUCGGGUCUUAAUUGACUUGGUAACGCAGCUAACGCGUGAAGUAGACCGCCUGGGGAGUACGGUCGCAAGAUUAAAACUCAAAGGAAUUGACGGGGACCCGCACAAGCGGUGGAUGAUGUGGAUUAAUUCGAUGCAACGCGAAAAACCUUACCUACCCUUGACAUGUACAGAAUCCCGAAGAGAUUUGGGAGUGUUCGAAAGAAAACUGUAACACAGGUGCUGCAUGGCUGUCGUCAGCUCGUGUCGUGAGAUGUUGGGUUAAGUCCCGCAACGAGCGCAACCCUUGUCAUUAGUUGCUACGAAAGGGCACUCUAAUGAGACUGCCGGUGACAAACCGGAGGAAGGUGGGGAUGACGUCAAGUCCUCAUGGCCCUUAUGGGUAGGGCUUCACACGUCAUACAAUGGUACAUACAGAGGGCCGCCAACCCGCGAGGGGGAGCUAAUCCCAGAAAGUGUAUCGUAGUCCGGAUUGUAGUCUGCAACUCGACUACAUGAAGUUGGAAUCGCUAGUAAUCGCGGAUCAGCAUGUCGCGGUGAAUACGUUCCCGGGUCUUGUACACACCGCCCGUCACACCAUGGGAGCGGGUUUUACCAGAAGUAGGUAGCCUAACCGUAAGGA